CGAUAAGAAAUCUGUACAAAAUUCGUAAUGCAAAGAUGGCGUACGCUUUAUGGAAUCAGACGUGAACACGCGAUCGUGUUGCGAGGAAGCCAGUGGAAAAAGAAGUUAAGACCCGGAGAGCGUGGCUUUUGACUUUGUCUGUUGGUAUGGGCUAUUGAGUGCGCGAGCCGCAGGUUUCGCGUUCAUAUAUUGCCGCUCCACACCCCUCCUCGAUACUUACGACAGCCCCACCACAAAGCCGUCUCCCGCUCGAUGCUUAAACCCAUCGACAAAUGACUAUUUGCCUAGCAUUUGGAUUUAAUCUACAUUGUCUCGGACACAGCGGUAAUAUCGCAUUGGUGACGGAAGCUUUAAAGAAAAUCUGUUAUCAAAAUUGAUUUGAGCAAAAAAUUAAAAACUGUUUCAUUAUACGAAAAGAUUAAAAAAAAGUUUAUGAUAAAACAAAAAAAAUGAUUUUCCACCAGCAUCUUCGUAAUUUUUCACGAAUAUGUACUGUAAUAGCUGUAGGUGUAUAUGUAGCUUUUAUACCUGUUGCUUUAAUGAUUUGUAGUAAUAGCAGUUUUCUUUAUUCUAUUUUACUUAGUCAAAUAUUUAGAAAUGUGUUGGAGGGGUAUUUACUGAAUUGUUCUACUGACUGAUAAUAACUCAUUACAUCUUAUAGUCUCUCAUGGAUGUGUAAUUAAGUGGCUAAAUUGGGACAGUAGGUUGGUGCUGCUUCUGCAAACAACCUAGCUCACUUGACUAGAGGAAAGAUGCGUACGUACAAGACUCACACGUGCGCCAAAGUGACGUGGGAUAAACACAAGCGUGGCAAGAUAUAUCCACGUUGCGUUGAAGUCAACAUACAGCCUUGCAGAACUUACGCUCUAAGCGAUUAGAUUGUAUACGUACUAUGAUGUUGAAUGUAUUUCAGAAUUAAAAAAACAUAAGCCAUUAUUCCGCCUAUAUAGAAACAUUUGAAAUAUCGUUAUUCGUUAUUUUCAAUCGUUUCAGAGUCGAGCAGAUCGCAGUGAGAAAAACAAUGUAAAAAAUACUACUACAUUUUUUACGAAAAUUCCCCUAGGGCUUGGGCUUCAUAGAAAUCCAAGAUGGCCAAGACGACGCAUCUGAUUGGCUGCAUGGAAAACCUAUCGGCCUCACUCAUUUUACCGGUUUCGCUGCCUUUCAGAACUACCCGUGUUCAUCCCUGCUGAAACGUAGGUUACAUUAUUUCUGAUUCGUAUUUUAGUACUAUUAGUACAUGGUGUGUUCUGAUAAGUUUAUAGGCAACCAUAAUAUUCAGAAUAGUGACCUGUUUAAAAGUAAAAAUUCUUCGAUAAAUAAAGUGCGAGAUCAUCUUCUCUUAUGCGUCAGCAUGUUUACUUUGGUUCUUGACAGGCAGAAUAAGAGCGAGACAGAUAAAAAAAAAGGAGCAAGAAAAGUUUAUACAUACUUCGAACAAUCCAUUUGCAGUUCCACAAACUGGUUUAACAGUCUGCAUACGAGACAACCCAGUCCAUCUUCGUAAGGUUAAGGUUAGAACGUUGUAAGUGCCAUUAAUUACGUAAAUCGACAAACAACGCAGCGACGUUACACUCUGCUGCACUGACAGUCGAUACUUAAAUAUGCUCAAAGCCUUAUCGAAGAAUAAAGCACAAGUUGAUAAAAUUAUAACCAGCACGUGUAGCUAUCUUAAGUGACAAGACAAAAAUACGUCGAGAAUUCGAGGUCUUUUUAAAAUUGGCAAACGCCAGAAGGUGUCUCGUGAAUCCUGAUGAUCAGUAACCAUAUACAUACAUAUUUACAUGCAUAUUAUCAACGAUAGUAAACAAACAAGAUGGCGCGAUUGCUUGCUAACUCAAUCAAUCUCGUUAAUCUAGAGUAACAGUGUCUCUUGCCAUUAACGUAAUGUUACUAUGUAAUAUUUCCAGUAGUAAACGUUACUUCGAAAAGUACUAUUUUCAUCUACAACUACCCAGAAGUAUGUUCCGGAUUAUCAACGCAGAAUAAUUUGCUUGCACGAGAUAGAAGAACAAAAUAACCAGCACCCCCCAUCACGUUCUGGAUGCACUGCGUUACAGCCAUCGUCUCCCUUGCAUGAAAAAAGAGAAAGAGAAACAAAUCAUCCAAGAUGGACGCUGUCACGUUUACGUGAAUACCAUCAAUCUAUACAUGAUGCACGCUAUAACAGUGUCCGUAAGACACGUCUCCACUACGACAAGGAAUCAAAGUCAAGAUAAUAGUUGUGGAACCAAAUUUUUUACUAGACACGAAAGCAUCGUGUUAGUGGUUCAAAUCGUUCACUGGAUGAGCAGCACAAGUUUUUGUUGAGGUUGUGCAAUUUUUGUUUCCUGUAUGUCUAAGAAUAGAGAAAAACGCCAUUGUAUCACGAGAUCAACAAGGUUCUUCGGAAGUUCACCAUAGUUAAUUGGCGUCUCAGUCUCUUAGCUGUAUUCGGGCGUCCGUGAAAGACGACAAACUCCCGCCAAAGGUGUAGAUACGAGUAGCGAUUCUCGACUGGACGUCGCAUCACUCUGUCCAGUCUGCCUAUUAUCCAAGACGGCCAGGGGGGUGGUUACAACCCUUGUCGACCCUGGUUCACCCCACUCGAGAUAUCUAUAUGACGUUGCGGUAUAGCGAUUCGUGAUAAGCAAGUCUAAGGGUGGCAGGUAGUGAGUUUCUAGGUGUGGUCCCUGGUUAUGAAAAUAAAGUAGAGUGGACAGGAUUCGUGUCCACGAGAACGUCCUCUGGGAGGAGGAUUGGCUGGAUCGUUCCGAAAUCUAGCGUGACCGGGAAAUCAACCUUCUCGAUGUACCGGAACCUUGACACUGUAGCAUGACAUUCUUCCUGUUAUGAUAGGUGCGUGCCUGCCCUACCUGCAACGGAAUGGAUAUUUUAUUAUAUUAUACCAGAAGAAAAAUCGAUUCAUACCUAUUUUAAAAUUCCACAUAAUAAUGGUCAUUAAAUAACAGAAUAAUUAUUUGUAAAAAUUUUCAAGCCUAUAAAUACUUUUUCAACACUUAUAAUAGCCCACCUUACUUCGUUCAAGUAAAACAAUAAAAAGAUUCAAAGCAUUGAAAGAUUUUAGGUCUUGAUUGAAUCACGGAUUUGGGUCAGAUUUCUCAUCUACAGCAACGCCGUCUGGUUAGCGGACACUGACUAAAUGCGCGCAGACAUGAAGAUGCACAUUUAAUACCAGGUCCAAAGUAAACCCUAAAGGAACACAAGAAUAAUAUCAACAAGGACAGUCCAGUACAUAGCUGAACAAUCCAGCAUUCAAAUUUUCUCUACUUAUAUCGAUUGGUAGCCGAUGACAAAGGGGCGCUUCACUAUUAGAGCAAUGGCGAAUUCGCGUGCAGAUAACGUAAGAGCAAUUAGCAUACGUGAGGUCGGCCAAUGCUUUUGUGAUAUCCACUCCGAUAUCGUAAGGUUACAAGAUUCACUGGACAAGAAUGCUGUCUACGAAGUGCAUAUGGUGCAAGGCUUUGGGUGAAUAAGAAAAACAGAUCGGCUUGUGAUGCACAAAGUUCUUUGAUAAUAUUCUCUCAUUAAACCAAAAGAUUAGGGCUGCUUUCAUGAAACGCGUCUGGCGUUCUUGAGUGGCAGCACUCUGUCAGAAUCGUUAAUCGGCAGCACUUUGAGAGGUGAUCUAACGCAGCAUCUACCAACCACUUGCCCCCUCGUUUCGGAAUCCAAUAAUUCGAAGUGAAGGAAAAACACUGUGAAUAAAAAUGCCAACGUAAAUUAGCCACGAUGCUGCACGAUGUAUACUAAACUCGAAGACGUAAUCGAUGAUAAUAGUCACAGUCACAACGGAGUAACGAUGACGAUUCAGGAUUCAGGAUCAACCGGUAAUUAUUAAUCCUCGAUACUACAUCACUGACUAAUCCUUAAUUCAACUUCAUAAAUUAUCAACGGCAGUUUAAUGUACUUUAAAUAACUGACAGUAAAUCAUCACGAAGAAUAGCGUCCUUGUUACGGAAUGCAAAUCGCAAAAUCUGUCACCAUGGAGUUUUACAGAAAUGCUACAGGAAGAGAAUACAGUACCGAAACACGGUCAUCACGUGGGCGUCCCACAGUCGUCGUGAUGUCUUGAGAAAUACCUCAGGAGCGUCGAUCAUUAUUUUCGUCAUUGUUAUAUUCAGAGAUUAACAUCACCCAACGCAAGUUUUUGGAUAAGAUAGGUAACCUAAUGAAAUACUACAACUGUAAGUGAAAUGUACGUUCUUAAAAGUAUACACGUAAUACGUGUCAUUUUUAUCGUACAUAUCUUUAACUAAGUAAAUGAGGAGGUAUAACUUAACGUUCAUGGUAUCAUAUCUCUUCUAGUAAGAUAAGGCCUAAUUAUUUUUGGUCACUUAGUUAUCAAGGAGAUAAUCGUACAAGCAAUCUGGAAAUAAAUUGACUCAUAGUAAUUUAGUAAUGGAUUAAUAAAUCAUCAAAUUAUAGAGAAAAAUA